rnacentral:lncRNA from 1 species
UCUUGGCCUUUCAUCUCACAUCUUGGAGAAUCUCUAAGCCCACUUGAAAUCACAGGCCUCCUCCAAGCUGUGGCAGACUGCAGACCAUCAGCUGGCCCAUCGCGCUUGAGCAAGAGACAAGGCCAAGUCCCCAGCGUUCUCUGCUGGCCUCCUUCUAAACCAGACACCGGACACAGAUUCUUGGAGCCCCCACCGUUUGGUUUUAACAGGACUGUGGCUUGCCCUCAAAGCCUUCUCAUGGUGAUCAGACCUAGGUAGAUGUCCCUGCCCCGUGAGCUGAGCAGGACUUUUCUGAAUCCAGAGAGAGAUUUGUGCCUAUGAGAGAACAUGCCAGGGAGUAUGCUGCCUCCAAAGAUCGGGACAUGCACCUGCUGUGAAGGCAGUUCUUGUGGGUGCGGUCUAGGAGUCUCCUCUUGCACUCCUGCUUCUUGGCCUGUAAAAUCAAACUUUCCUUCAAGGCCUUACUCAAACCUCCUUCUCCUGUAACAGUCAGAUUCCUAGUCAGCUUCCUUGAUUCCUUUUCCACCUGCCUCCUCACAUUGUGAGGCCAUGGUUCUCAGCUGUGCUGAAGUAAAUUAUGAGGUCACUUAUAAGUGAGGCCUUACAAGUGACCAUAACCUUGCUUGAUUUACAAACAUAAGCAAAGCUUAACUUGAGCUAUUUCUUGUAAAUGCCUAUUUUAAAGAAAACUGAGGCCAGGCAUGGUGGCUUAUGCCUGAAAUCCCAGUGCCUUGGAAAGCCAAGGUGGGAGGAUCACUUGAGGCCAGGAGUUCAAG